UUAAGCGACUAAGCGUACACGGUGGAUGCCUAGGCAAUCAGAGGCGAUGAAGGACGUGCUAAUCUGCGAAAAGCGUCGGUAAGGUGAUAUGAACCGUUAUAACCGACGAUGUCCGAAUGGGGAAACCCAGUGCAAUUCGUUGCACUAUCGUUUGAUGAAUCCAUAGUCAAACGAGGCGAACCGGGGGAACUGAAACAUCUCAGUACCCCGAGGAAAAGAAAUCAACCGAGAUUCCCCUAGUAGCGGCGAGCGAACGGGGAGCAGCCCAGAGUCUUAAUCAGCAUCAGCAUCAGGAGAACGGUCUGGAAAGGCCGGCAAUAAAGGGUGAUAGCCCCGUAUCCGAAGGUGCUGGUGUUGUGAACUCGAUGAGUAGGGCGGGACACGUGUUAUCCUGUCUGAAUAUGGGGGGACCAUCCUCCAAGGCUAAAUACUCCUGAUUGACCGAUAGUGAACCAGUACCGUGAGGGAAAGGCGAAAAGAACCCCGGCGAGGGGAGUGAAAUAGAACCUGAAACCGUGUACGUACAAGCAGUGGGAGCCUUGAUUUAUCAGGGUGACUGCGUACCUUUUGUAUAAUGGGUCAGCGACUUAUAUUCUGUAGCAAGGUUAACCGUAUAGGGGAGCCGUAGGGAAACCGAGUCUUAACUGGGCGAAUGAGUUGCAGGGUAUAGACCCGAAACCCGGUGAUCUAGCCAUGGGCAGGUUGAAGGUUGGGUAACACUAACUGGAGGACCGAACCGACUAAUGUUGAAAAAUUAGCGGAUGACUUGUGGCUGGGGGUGAAAGGCCAAUCAAACCGGGAGAUAGCUGGUUCUCCCCGAAAGCUAUUUAGGUAGCGCCUCGUGAACUCAUCUUCGGGGGUAGAGCACUGUUUCGGCUAGGGGGUCAUCCCGACUUACCAACCCGAUGCAAACUACGAAUACCGAAGAAUGUUAUCACGGGAGACACACGGCGGGUGCUAACGUUCGUCGUGAAGAGGGAAACAACCCAGACCGCCAGCUAAGGUCCCAAAGUCAUGGUUAAGUGGGAAACGAAGUGGGAAGGCUCAGACAGCCAGGAUGUUGGCUUAGAAGCAGCCAUCAUUUAAAGAAAGCGUAAUAGCUCACUGGUCGAGUCGGCCUGCGCGGAAGAUGUAACGGGGCUAAACCAUGCACCGAAGCUGCGGCAGCGACAUGUAAAUGUUGUUGGGUAGGGGAGCGUUCUGUAAGCCUGUGAAGGUGUGCUGCGAGGCAUGCUGGAGGUAUCAGAAGUGCGAAUGCUGACAUAAGUAACGAUAAUGCGGGUGAAAAACCCGCACGCCGGAAGACCAAGGGUUCCUGUCCAACGUUAAUCGGGGCAGGGUGAGUCGACCCCUAAGGCGAGGCAGAAAUGCGUAGUCGAUGGGAAACAGGUUAAUAUUCCUGUACUGGUGAUAAUUGCGAUGGGGGGACGGAGAAGGCUAGGCUGGCCGGGCGACGGUUGUCCCGGUUUAAGGAUGUAGGUGGGUGAAUUAGGCAAAUCCGGUUCGCUAUACACUGAGGUCUGAUGACGAGUCACUACGGUGGCGAAGUAGCUCAUGCCCCGCUUCCAGGAAAAGCCUCUAAGCUCUAGAUUAUCAUUAAUCGUACCCCAAACCGACACAGGUGGUCAGGUAGAGAAUACUCAGGCGCUUGAGAGAACUCGGGUGAAGGAACUAGGCAAAAUGGUGCCGUAACUUCGGGAGAAGGCACGCUGGCACUAGGUGAAGUCCCUUGCGGAUGGAGCUGAAGCCAGUCGCAGAUACCAGCUGGCUGCAACUGUUUAUUAAAAACACAGCACUGUGCAAACACGAAAGUGGACGUAUACGGUGUGACGCCUGCCCGGUGCUGGAAGGUUAAUUGAUGGGGUUAUCCGUAAGGAGAAGCUCUUGAUCGAAGCCCCAGUAAACGGCGGCCGUAACUAUAACGGUCCUAAGGUAGCGAAAUUCCUUGUCGGGUAAGUUCCGACCUGCACGAAUGGCGUAAUGAUGGCCAGGCUGUCUCCACCCGAGACUCAGUGAAAUUGAACUCGCUGUGAAGAUGCAGUGUACCCGCGGCAAGACGGAAAGACCCCGUGAACCUUUACUAUAGCUUGACACUGAACAUUGAGCCUUGAUGUGUAGGAUAGGUGGGAGGCUUUGAAGUGUGGACGCCAGUCUGCAUGGAGCCAACCUUGAAAUACCACCCUUUAAUGUUUGAUGUUCUAACGUUGCCCCAUAAUCUGGGGUGCGGACAGUGUCUGGUGGGUAGUUUGACUGGGGCGGUCUCCUCCCAAAGCGUAACGGAGGAGCACGAAGGUUGGCUAAGCAUGGUCGGACAUCAUGCGGUUAGUGCAAAGGCAUAAGCCAGCUUGACUGCGAGAGUGACGGCUCGAGCAGGUACGAAAGUAGGUCUUAGUGAUCCGGUGGUUCUGAAUGGAAGGGCCAUCGCUCAACGGAUAAAAGGUACUCCGGGGAUAACAGGCUGAUACCGCCCAAGAGUUCAUAUCGACGGCGGUGUUUGGCACCUCGAUGUCGGCUCAUCACAUCCUGGGGCUGAAGUAGGUCCCAAGGGUAUGGCUGUUCGCCAUUUAAAGUGGUACGCGAGCUGGGUUUAGAACGUCGUGAGACAGUUCGGUCCCUAUCUGCCGUGGGCGUUGGAAGAUUGAAAGGGGCUGCUCCUAGUACGAGAGGACCGGAGUGGACGCACCGCUGGUGUUCGGGUUGUCAUGCCAAUGGCACUGCCCGGUAGCUAAGUGCGGAAGAGAUAACCGCUGAAAGCAUCUAAGCGGGAAACUUGCCUUGAGAUGAGUCUUCCCUGACUCUUUAAGGGUCCUAAAGGAACGUUUAAGACGAAGACGUUGAUAGGCUGGGUGUGUAAGCGUAGCGAUACGUUGAGCUAACCAGUACUAAUGAACCGUGAGGCUUAACCUG
rnacentral:rRNA from 1 species